rnacentral:rRNA from 1 species
CNUGCAGUCGACGCUUUGUGGUUCAACUGAUUUGAAGAGCUUGCUCAGAUAUGACGAUGGACAUUGCAAAGAGUGGCGAACGGGUGAGUAACACGUGGGAAACCUACCUCUUAGCAGGGGAUAACAUUUGGAAACAGAUGCUAAUACCGUAUAACAAUGACAACCGCAUGGUUGUUAUUUAAAAGAUGGUUCUGCUAUCACUAAGAGAUGGUCCCGCGGUGCAUUAGCUAGUUGGUAAGGUAAUGGCUUACCAAGGCGAUGAUGCAUAGCCGAGUUGAGAGACUGAUCGGCCACAAUGGGACUGAGACACGGCCCAUACUCCUACGGGAGGCAGCAGUAGGGAAUCUUCCACAAUGGGCGAAAGCCUGAUGGAGCAACGCCGCGUGUGUGAUGAAGGGUUUCGGCUCGUAAAACACUGUUGUAAGAGAAGAAUGACAUUGAGAGUAACUGUUCAAUGUGUGACGGUAUCUUACCAGAAAGGAACGGCUAAAUACGUGCCAGCAGCCGCGGU